AUGUCGCCGAGCGCCGCCCGGUCCAGCACGGCCGGCUCCGGCCCGCUCUGGGUCAGCUCGCGGAUCGUCACCGCCGCGCCGUCC
rnacentral:tRNA from 1 species